rnacentral:lncRNA from 1 species
AAAGGAGUGAAACAAAGUGUGAGCCCAAGUGUGUACCAAAGUGAUCCCUUGUGUAAUAAAAGUUGAAGAAUUACAAAAGUCUCUCUCCAUAUAGCUAGAUAUAUUAAACCUUCCAAACUACCUCCAUUUCUUCAUUUAUUAACUAAACAAAAUCUCUUUCCUUCUUACAUUUAAAGGUCUUCUACCUUUAAAUUGUUCUCCUACAA